UCGAGCGGAUGUCAGGAGCUUGCUCCUUGAUUCAGCGGCGGACGGGUGAGUAAUACCUAGGAAUCUGCCUGGUAGUGGGGGACAACGUUUCGAAAGGAACGCUAAUACCGCAUACGUCCUACGGGAGAAAGCAGGGGACCUUCGGGCCUUGCGCUAUCAGAUGAGCCUAGGUCGGAUUAGCUAGUUGGUGGGGUAAUGGCUCACCAAGGCGACGAUCCGUAACUGGUCUGAGAGGAUGAUCAGUCACACUGGAACUGAGACACGGUCCAGACUCCUACGGGAGGCAGCAGUGGGGAAUAUUGGACAAUGGGCGAAAGCCUGAUCCAGCCAUGCCGCGUGUGUGAAGAAGGUCUUCGGAUUGUAAAGCACUUUAAGUUGGGAGGAAGGGCAGUAAGUUAAUACCUUGCUGUUUUGACGUUACCGACAGAAUAAGCACCGGCUAACUCUGUG
rnacentral:rRNA from 1 species